GAUGAACGCUGGCGGCGUGCCUAAUACAUGCAAGUCGAGCGAACGGACGAGAAGCUUGCUUCUCUGAUGUUAGCGGCGGACGGGUGAGUAACACGUGGAUAACCUACCUAUAAGACUGGGAUAACUUCGGGAAACCGGAGCUAAUACCGGAUAAUAUUUUGAACCGCAUGGUUCAAAAGUGAAAGACGGUCUUGCUGUCACUUAUAGAUGGAUCCGCGCUGCAUUAGCUAGUUGGUAAGGUAACGGCUUACCAAGGCAACGAUGAAUAGCCGAUCUGAGAGGGUGAUCGGCCACACUGGAACUGAGACACGGUCCAGACUCCUACGGGAGGCAGCAGUAGGGAAUCUUCCGCAAUGGGCGAAAGCCUGACGCAGCAACGCCGCGUGAGUGAUGAAGGUCUUCGGAUCGUAAACCUCUGUUAUUAGGGAAGAACAGAUGUGUAAGUAACUGUGCACAUCUUGACGGUACCUAAUCAGAAAGCCACGGCUAACUACGUG
rnacentral:rRNA from 1 species